AAUUCGAAGCAACGCGAAGAACCUUACCUAAGCUUGACAUCCCAAUGACAUCUCCUUAAUCGGAGAGUUCCCUUCGGGGACAUUGGUGACAGGUGGUGCAUGGUUGUCGUCAGCUCGUGUCGUGAGAUGUUGGGUUAAGUCCCGCAACGAGCGCAACCCUUGUCUUUAGUUGCCAUCAUUAAGUUGGGCACUCUAGAGAGACUGCCAGGGAUAACCUGGAGGAAGGUGGGGAUGACGUCAAAUCAUCAUGCCCCUUAUGCUUAGGGCUACACACGUGCUACAAUGGGUAGUACAGAGGGUUGCCAAGCCGUAAGGUGGAGCUAAUCCCUUAAAGCUACUCUCAGUUCGGAUUGUAGGCUGAAACUCGCCUACAUGAAGCUGGAGUUACUAGUAAUCGCAGAUCAGAAUGCUGCGGUGAAUGCGUUCCCGGGUCUUGUACACACCGCCCGUCACACCACGGGAGUUGGAGACGCCCGAAGCCGAUUAUCUAACCUUUUGGAAGAAGUCGUCGAAGGUGGAAUCAAUAACUGGGGUGAAGUCGUAACAAGGUAGCCGUAUCGGAAGGUGCGGCUGGAUCACCUCCUUUCUAAGGA
rnacentral:rRNA from 1 species